UGGUGUAUGCACGUUUUUUUUGUUGGUGAACGUAUUUUUUGUUACUCCCGUACUUUUGACCCGCGUCGUUGGGUUGUUUCCUUCUCCGUCUAAAGCAGCAGCAUCGAAUUGUCCUCCAUUGUUUUUCUUCCUCUCUUCUCUUCUCAGUUACGCAUAACCAAAUUCUCUCAUUACUGAAAUCUAAAUCUAAAGACUACAAUCCAACGAAAAAAACAGAAGCAAGCAGUGAAUUGAAAUGGAGAGGUGAGGAAUUGCGAACCCUAAAUCCCCAAUUUUUACUUACCAAGACAAUAUGAACAUUCAAAAUUAAUAAACUGAAGUAAAACAUGAUGAUGAUGCUUCACUCUCAAACUUUCUUGCUUCUCUUAUGAAUUACGCCCCUACUAUUGCAGGGACGCAUAGUACUGGGUAUUUAGUCAUUUGGUUUUUGUUGUUGCCGUCGGAGAUUCUAAGGUUGCAUUAUUUUUAAUAUACAUGAAUCUUUUGGCGUUGAUGAGUCCCCACAUGGAGCUGAAAGAGCAGUAAUUGAACUUGCAAGUGUGGUUGAUGGUCCAGUAGAAGGUGUAGGCGCUCCAGCCACAUGGGGAUGGUGGGCUGCAACUAGCAUUGGUGACAACUCCUUUUGGGAUAACUAUGCUGGUAAAUAGAGUGUGCACGUACUUACGUGGCUUGAAGAAAUAUAGAGAUGCAAAGAGGAGUCCAGAAUUUAUGAUAGGUGGAAGUUGCAAAGAUAAAUUUGAAUUUGUGUGGGAUUAAUGAGCAAGUGAAUCAAGAGUAGGGUUCUGCAGCUUUUACUUGGACAACAACUUCAACAAAAUGAAGGGACUGUUUGUAAACGGUGAAUAGAGCCAGGAAGAUUUGAGUUCUCAAUGCAAGGGACUAUUAGGCUUAGAUGCUAAACCUGCAAAGAAUAGGUCUGUAAGAAAUAGGUUGUGCACAUGGUGUGGGGUGUUCAGGUUAGUGGAUGUAGAAAACACAACUCAUUCAACCAGUAGUUAUGACCGUGCUUUAUCUUACUGUUUUAUUUCACUGUACGACAAUAACACAUUUUGUUUCAGCGAAUCAUGAUUUUCCAAC